AACAAGGCGUACCUGCGGACCUGCGGAAGGAUCAUUAACGAGUGUACCUACCCUUUUAAAAAAUGGGUGGUACCUCCCGUCCUUUGCGGGCCCCCUUCUUUUAUUAAGGGGGGGGCUUUUAAGACUUUCUGCUUCGGCGGGGUUAUUCCCGCCGGAACACCUUCAAAAAACUCUUGAUCAAAAAACUGUUCAGUCCGAGAAUUUUUGAAAAUUAAAACAAAACUUUUAACAAUGGAUCUC
rnacentral:misc_RNA from 1 species